rnacentral:misc_RNA from 1 species
GAUGAAGAACGUAGCGAAAUGCGAUAAGUAAUGUGAAUUGCAGAAUUCCGUGAAUCAUCGAGUCUUUGAACGCACAUUGCGCCCCCUGGUAUUCCGGGGGGCAUGCCUGUCCGAGCGUCAUUGCUGCCCUCAAGCACGGCUUGUGUGUUGGGCCUCCGUCCUCCUCCCGGGGGACGGGCCCGAAAGGCAGCGGCGGCACCGCGUCCGGUCCUCGAGCGUAUGGGGCUUCGUCACCCGCUCUUGUAGGCCCGGCCGGCGCUUGCCGACACAUCAAUCUUUUUUCCAGGUUGACCUCGGAUCAGGUAGGGAUACCCGCUGAACUUAAGCAUAUCAACAAGCGGAGGA